GAUGAACGCUGGCGGCGUGCCUAAUACAUGCAAGUCGAGCGAAUGGAUUAAGAGCUUGCUCUUAUGAAGUUAGCGGCGGACGGGUGAGUAACACGUGGGUAACCUGCCCAUAAGACUGGGAUAACUCCGGGAAACCGGGGCUAAUACCGGAUAACAUUUUGAACCGCAUGGUUCGAAAUGGAAAGGCGGCUUCGGCUGUCACUUAUGGAUGGACCCGCGUCGCAUUGGCUAGUUGGUGAGGUAACGGCUCACCAAGGCAACGAUGCGUAGCCGACCUGAGAGGGUGAUCGGCCACACUGGGACUGAGACACGGCCCAGACUCCUACGGGAGGCAGCAGUAGGGAAUCUUCCGCAAUGGACGAAAGUCUGACGGAGCAACGCCGCGUGAGUGAUGAAGGCUUUCGGGUCGUAAAACUCUGUUGUUAGGGAAGAACAAGUGCUAGUUGAAUAAGCUGGCACCUUGACGGUACCUAACCAGAAAGCCACGGCUAACUACGUGCCAGCCGCCGCGGUAA
rnacentral:rRNA from 1 species